rnacentral:rRNA from 1 species
GGAAUAUUGCGCAAUGAGCGAAAGCUUGACGCAGCGACACCGCGUGUGGGAUGACGGUUCUAGGAUUGUAAACCACUUUCAGGAGGGAAGAAAAUGACGGUACCUCCACAAGAAGACCCGGCCAACUACGUGCCAGCAGCCGCGGUAAUACGUAGGGGUCAAGCGUUGUCCGGAUUUAUUGGGCGUAAAGAGCUCGUAGGCGGUUCAACAAGUCGGUCGUAAAAGUUUAGGGCUCAACCCUAAAAUGUCGAUCGAUACUGUUGUGACUAGGAUACGGUAGAGGUGAAUGGAAUUCCGAGUGUAGCGGUGAAAUGCGUAGAUAUUCGGAGGAACACCAAUUGCGAAGGCAG